UUGCGGAGCGUGGUUCGGCCGAGGUGCAUUCCGUCGCGAUGCUCGUGCUGCUGGGGACUGCACUACGUGAGGCUGGCGACCGUCACAAAGCAGGUGCACAGUUCGCCC
rnacentral:SRP_RNA from 15 species